AAGUCGUAACAAGGUUUCCGUAGGUGAACCUGCGGAAGGAUCAUUAUCACGUUAUCCACGUAUAAACCAUUGUGAACCGUACUUUUUCACCUCUGGCAAUUUUAGACAUGUUGCGAUUCACUUCGUAACGCGAAAGCAAGUGUCUAAAUUUACAGAGUGUAAAUUUUAACUUAUUAACCAUUUUAACACAAUCUUUACAACUUUAUGAACUAACUUUAUUUUAUACUCUUCGGAGAUAAAAUUCAUUACGAAACAAAGAACAACUCUUAGCAACGGAUAUCUUGGUUCUC
rnacentral:misc_RNA from 1 species